UACAGAGGUCCCAAGCGUUGUUCGGAUUUACUGGGCGUAAAGGGUGCGUAGGUGGUCGGGUAAGUCUCAUGUGAAAUCUCCAAGCUCAACUUGGAAAUGGCAUGGGACACUAUUCGGCUAGAGGAUUGGAGGGGGGACUGGAAUUCCCGGUGUAGCAGUGAAAUGCGUAGAUAUCGGGAGGAACACCAGUGGCGAAGGCGAGUCCCUGGACAAUUCCUGACGCUGAGGCACGAAAGCUAGGGGAGCAAACAGG
rnacentral:rRNA from 1 species